UCCUACCCACUUGCCCAUGACAUUUGCAA
rnacentral:piRNA from 1 species